GACGAACGCUGGCGGCGUGCCUAAUACAUGCAAGUAGAACGCACAGUUUAUACCGUAGCUUGCUACACCAUAGACUGUGAGUUGCGAACGGGUGAGUAACGCGUAGGUAACCUGCCUGGUAGCGGGGGAUAACUAUUGGAAACGAUAGCUAAUACCGCAUAAUAUUAAUUAUUGCAUGAUAAUUAAUUGAAAGGUGCAAUUGCACCACUACCAGAUGGACCUGCGUUGUAUUAGCUAGUAGGUGAGGUAACGGCUCACCUAGGCGACGAUACAUAGCCGACCUGAGAGGGUGAUCGGCCACACUGGGACUGAGACACGGCCCAGACUCCUACGGGAGGCAGCAGUAGGGAAUCUUCGGCAAUGGACGAAAGUCUGACCGAGCAACGCCGCGUGAGGGAAGAAGGGUUUCGGAUCGUAAAGCUCUGUUGUAAGAGAAGAACGGGUGUGAGAGUGGAAAGUUCACACUGUGACGGUAGCUUACCAGAAAGGGACGGCUAACUACGUG
rnacentral:rRNA from 1 species